CCACCCUCACCUGCUUCUCCUGCUGGCACCUGCUUCUCUGAACGCCACAAACCCUUCUUUGGCCAUCUCAUCACCUUCUGUCAAGUAAACUAGGCAUUCCUCAGACUCUCACAACCGAGACCUCCCUGGAGAUGCUCCUUCAUUGUGAUUUCAGUGUACUUGGGGAAGACAACCCAGUCCAUCCCAACGAAAAAGGCUCUCCAUCCUGCUCUGUUCAGGCUGGUCCGGCACCCCCAGCGCAUCACCGUAACACCAUUCUGUCCGUUUAGACUUACACAUCAGCUGGUUCAUUUGACCUAGGAGGUAAGAAGCAGUGACUGCCUGGUGCUACAGGACCCUGGGCCAGGCCUGCCAGGCGCCCAUUCGCACUAGAGGACUCGUCUGCCCUGAGCUGAUGAGCACAAACACCACUAGGGCUGUAUUUGGAGAGGAAUAUGAAUGUUUUCUAAGGGGAGGCAUUUAAAAUGCCUUAGUUGAAGACUGACUCAAAGAAAAGCUUUCUUUUGGAUUCAUCUCAACAUCUAUCAGGUGGUAUUAUUUUUCCAAUAAUCUUUUACUUUAUCCUUUGCUUUCUAAAGAGUUUAUGUCCAACCUAUAAUUAUUUUCUGCUAAUUAGAGUAAUUCAUAGUUAAUUAUUCAAAAUGAUUCCUCUUCAAAAUCAAAUCCAUUUCUU